UCUGGCCUAAGGUGGGGACAACCACUGGAAACGGUGGCUAAUACCGCAUAAGCCUGAGGGUGAAAGAUUAAUUGCCUAAGGAUGAGCUCGCGUCUGAUUAGUUAGUUGGUAGGGUAAGAGCCUACCAAGGCGACGAUCAGUAACUGGUUUGAGAGGAUGACCAGUCACACUGGGAUUGAGACACGGCCCAGACUCUUACGGGAGGCAGCAGUGGGGAAUUUUCCGCAAUGGGCGAAAGCCUGACGGAGCAAUACCGCGUGGGGGAGGAAGGCCCUUGGGUUGUAAACCUCUUUUCUCAGGGAAGAAUUCUGACGGUACCUGAGGAAUCAGCCUCGGCUAACUCCGUGCCAGCAGCCGCGGUAAUACGGAGGAGGCAAGCGUUAUCCGGAAUGAUUGGGCGUAAAGCGUCCGCAGGUGGCAGUGCCAGUUUGCUGUCAAAGCUCAGGGCUUAACCCUGAACAGGCAGUGGAAACUGCACAGCUAGAGUGCGGUAGGGGCAGAGGGAAUUCCUGGUGUAGCGGUGAAAUGCGUAGAUAUUAGGAAGAACACCGGUGGCGAAAGCGCUCUGCUUGGCCUCCACUGACACUCAGGGACGAAAGCUAGGGGAGCGAAUGGGAUCUUAAUCCGACUCAGUC
rnacentral:rRNA from 1 species